GAUGAACGCUGACAGAAUGCUUAACACAUGCAAGUCAACUUGAAUUUGGGUUUUUAACUUAGGUUUGGGUGGCGGACGGGUGAGUAACGCGUAAAGAACUUGCCUCACAGCUAGGGACAACAUUUGGAAACGAAUGCUAAUACCUAAUAUUAUGAUAAUAGGGCAUCCUAUAAUUAUGAAAGCUAUAAGCGCUGUGAGAGAGCUUUGCGUCCCAUUAGCUAGUUGGAGAGGUAACGGCUCACCAAGGCGAUGAUGGGUAGCCGGCCUGAGAGGGUGAUCGGCCACAAGGGGACUGAGACACGGCCCUUACUCCUACGGGAGGCAGCAGUGGGGAAUAUUGGACAAUGGACCGAGAGUCUGAUCCAGCAAUUCUGUGUGCACAAUGAAGUUUUUCGGAAUGUAAAGUGCUUUCAGUUGGGAAGAAACAAAUGACGGUACCAACAGAAGAAGUGACGGCUAAAUACGUG
rnacentral:rRNA from 1 species